UCGCACAAGCAGGCAAGCCAAGUUCUGAUACAAACAAGUGCAGACGAAGUAACACGAAUAUCUCCGGUAGUCAGUCUAUUUCCAUCAGCCGGCCGGUGGGAGCGAGAAGUAUGGGAUAUGUCUGGUGUUUCUUCCAUCAAUCAUCCGGAUUUACGCCGUAUAUCAACAGAUUACGGUUUCAAGGGUCAUCCAUUACGAAAGGACUUUCCUCUGAGUGGAUAUGUGGAAGUACGCUAUGAUGAUUCAGAGAAACGUGUGGUUUCUGAACCCAUUGAGAUGACCCAAGAAUUUCGCUAUUUCGAUUUUGCUUGUCCUUGGGAACAGCGUCGUGAUGGAUAA
rnacentral:rRNA from 1 species